rnacentral:lncRNA from 1 species
GAUAAAAGUAUCACUUUAUUAUAAAUCUCAAUAACCAUACCUAACAAAAAUCAAAUUUGAACUCACCAAUUUGUUGACAGAAAAGCUAAUUUAGUGGUGGGAUUAGUUGAAGAUUAUUUUAGUGUAUGAAGGUAGUACUUUGGCAUCUUUAGCAUUGUUUGUAUGAGAACACAUUUCAAAAGCCUCAUACGUCAAUUACGG